UCCCCGGGUGACGACUCCUCCUGCCGGGUUGGGGGAGCCCGGGACCCUCGCUUAUCCAGAUGUGCUUGGCAACUCCUACGGGCGAAACACACUGGAGGUGGAGGGGACCCGAAAAACGCGGUAUAACUUCGAAACCGUCCCGGCCCGGGCGGAUCCACAGCGGGCUCCCUUCCCCGGGGCCGACUCUCCGCUGUUCUGGGUGGGGCCGCUGUGGAGCAUUUUAUCUGGGCCGCGUCCCCUCCUCCCCGAACGAAAACAGGAACGAGGGUGGACUUGCCCGGACAUAUGAAAGCAAAUGCAGCUACUGCACUCAAUUCAGAGCACCCUAACCCAGAAACAGAAAACCUACAGGCAGGUCCCAGAAACGGCAAGAACGCGAUGAAAAGGGAGUAUGGAACAUCAGCGGCGAAUCUAAGACACAGGCCAGGAAUAAGCUCAGGGGAAGACUUAUUGAAGAAACGACUGAAAAGCUGUCAACGCCCUACUAAACCAGAGACAUGCACAUUAAAACUUCUGUUUGUUUGCUUUUUUAACAAAUCGGAAAUCAGUUUCAAAUGAUAACCUUCACACAUAGUCAGAGGUCUGGUGGGUAAUCAUUCUCCUGUACUACUGGAAGCAUAUAAAUUGCCUCAACAUUCCUGAACAUGAAUUUGCCAGUGGAAGCCAAAAAUAAAAACGUUUUAAAAUGA